rnacentral:rRNA from 1 species
CCUACGGGGGGCAGCAGUGAGGAAUAUUGGUCAAUGGCCGAAAGGCUGAACCAGCCAAGUAGCGUGAAGGAAGACUGCCCUAUGGGUUGUAAACCUCUUUUAUGCGGGGAUAAAAGUGUCCACGUGUGGCUGUUUGCAUGUACCGCAUGAAUAAGGACCGGCUAAUUCCGUGCCAGCAGCCGCGGUAAUACGGAGGGUCCGGGCGUUAUCCGGAUUUAUUGGGUUUAAAGGGAGCGUAGGCCGGUCUUUAAGCGUGCCGUGAAAUUUUGUGGCUCAACCCUGAGAGUGCGGCGCGUACUGGCGACCUUGAGUGCGCGGAAGGCAGGCGGAAUUCGUGGUGUAGCGGUGAAAUGCUUAGAUAUCACGAAGAACCCCGAGUGCGAAGGCAGCCUGCCGCAGCGUGACUGACGCUGAAGCUCGAAAGCGUGGGUAUCGAACAGGAUUAGAUACCCCAGUAGUC